rnacentral:lncRNA from 1 species
UGAAAGUUAAUUAUAUUCAUAUAUACUAUAAAGCAAAUAACCAAAGCAUAAAAUUACUUUUAUAGUGACACGUGGGCCCCCAACUAACCAAUAAAGUGCGAGUCUGUGAACCUACAAUUUUGUCGAUGCAAGGCUAACUGAAGUCCUUGAUGCAAUUAGCUAUCUACCGGCUAUCCCGAGUCUGAAAUGUGGGGAAUUGAGGGUGGUGAGAUUAUAAAAUCCCAGUGAGUAAACAGACACCAUCUAAACUAUCUAAAGGUGAGUAAAUGGAGACGAAUUAAAAUAAGUCACCAUAUUGUAAUUUCAUUACCUUUCAACUCAUUUCAACUAACUGAACAAAUAGGCUUAUGAUUUCCUGAAAAGCUUGGCUCGUGUCAAAAAUCAUUCUCAUACUCAUUUAUCAGGGAUACCUUGAUCGAGGGUUAUCCCAACCGAGUCCGCCAAGGCUGUUAAAUGUCUUUACAUCCGAAAUUUUAGCCAUGCCUUGGCGUUGGAUGAGUCUCACUCUCACGUGGUGGUCCACGUGAAGUGCACUCAUAUCUUUACCUCAGGAGAUACUUCAUCCAACAUCUCCCCCCGGAGGUAAAUAUAUAAUUGGGUUACCGUGCCCCUCUUAUAGGCAGUCCAUGAAAAUCCCCACCACUGCAGUGACUGGAUUAUUUUAUCUAUCACCUGAUUUAUAAAAUCUUUUUCUGCAUGACAUGGAAAUUUAUCGCAACCUAGCCUCUUAAGGCUGAAUACACAGUACAAAUAAUUAUAACACCAAAAAUCAGUUUAGCCAUUCAUGCUCAUAUAUUGUCAUAAGCCAUUCAAUUUAAAACCAUAAAUUUACAACACAAGCAGGCAGUCUCCAAUUACUCUAUUUUCAAAACCAAUAUUAAAUUUUUCAGAAAAUUCAUAAAAUCAUUUUAUAAAAUCAUAAUUUCUCCUAAGACAUAGCAAUUUACCAUUUAAACCCAUUUUCCAUAAAAUCACACAAUUGUAUAAAACUACUUUAGAUAAUUAAGACGAUAAUAAUUUUACUCACAGUUCUAGGAGUCGAUGUACUCCUAAUCUCAGUCUCCAAGCACAAUCUCUGUACUUUUACCAGUGUAAUUUACUCACCACCU